rnacentral:rRNA from 1 species
CCAGACUCUUACGGGAGGCAGCAGUAGGGAAUCUUCGGCAAUGGACGAAAGUCUGACCGAGCAACGCCGCGUGAGUGAAGAAGGUUUUCGGAUCGUAAAACUCUGUUGGUAGAGAAGAACGUUGGUGAGAGUGGAAAGCUCAUCAAGUGACGGUAACUACCCAGAAAGGGACGGCUAACUACGUGCCAGCAGCCGCGGUAAUACGUAGGUCCCGAGCGUUGUCCGGAUUUAUUGGGCGUAAAGCGAGCGCAGGUGGUUUAUUAAGUCUGGUGUAAAAGGCAGUGGCUCAACCAUUGUAUGCAUUGGAAACUGGUAGACUUGAGUGCAGGAGAGGAGAGUGGAAUUCCAUGUGUAGCGGUGAAAUGCGUAGAUAUAUGGAGGAACACCGGUGGCGAAAGCGGCUCUCUGGCCUGUAACUGACACUGAGGCUCGAAAGCGUGGGGAGCAAACAGGAUUAGAUACCCUGGUAGUCCACGCCGUAAACGAUGAGUGCUAGAUGUAGGGAGCUAUAAGUUCUCUGUAUCGCAGCUAACGCAAUAAGCACUCCGCCUGGGGAGUACGACCGCAAGGUUGAAACUCAAAGGAAUUGACGGGGGCCCGCACAAG